UGAGCAAUCUGCCCUUCUCUUUGGAAUAAGCGUUGGAAACGACGUCUAAUGCCGAAUACGACCUCCUUUCGCAUGAUCGGGA
rnacentral:rRNA from 1 species